rnacentral:lncRNA from 1 species
GAUCAAGGUAACAAAGCCCAGCCCAGCCUAGCCUGAAAAGCGCGUGUUUGGACGACACUGCUACGUCAGAUUAGGCGCGUGGGCAUCAGCAAGAAGUGAUCCCAGUUAACAACCAUUCCCGCACGCCGGUAAUUUCAUCUUUCAGCCCCAAAACGACAAUCAGAAAUAUUAGCUUUACUCUUCUCCCACGAUAUAUUUCCUCCCCUCCUUCUCUUUCCCUCCAGCUUCUUCCCAUUUUCAUCAUCUUCUUGCUCUGUUCUCUCUCUAGAUAAAACCCUAAUUAAAUGAAUAUAUAGAGAGUUUAUAUAGUUUACGUUGCUCUGGUGUUUACUUCGAGAUUGGGGUAAGCUGGAGACAGUUCACCAAGACGACGUCGCUCCCAAAAAGCCCGGCUGCGAGAACAACUUUGUUCUGGUAAACAAAUUAAGAACCCUAAUCUCUCUUCCUUUUCUAUUUCUUUUUCUAAACAUAUUUGACAUGUUUCUUUUAUUGUAUUUGAUUUGAUUUUGUCUUAUUACAUUUUCUGUUUGAUUGCUGAGAAAAAGGGAAAAAGAAGAGAACCUUUUCUUUAUCUUGGUUGGUUUAAUUUUCUGGUUGAUUUGAGAAUAUUUUUUUCCUANNN